UACGUAGGGUGCAAGCGUUGUCCGGAAUUAUUGGGCGUAAAGAGCUCGUAGGCGGUCUGUCGCGUCGGCUGUGAAAACCCGGGGCUCAACCCCGGGCCUGCAGUCGAUACGGGCAGACUAGAGUGCGGUAGGGGAGACUGGAAUUCCUGGUGUAGCGGUGAAAUGCGCAGAUAUCAGGAGGAACACCGGUGGCGAAGGCGGUUCUCUGGGCAUUACCUGACGCUGAGACACGAAAGCCAGGGGAGCAAACGGG
rnacentral:rRNA from 1 species